rnacentral:tRNA from 1 species
AGCAUUAGCUCAGCUGGAUAGAGCGUCAGACUUCGGAUCUGAAAGCCAGGGGUUCGAAUCCUCUAUGCUG